rnacentral:rRNA from 1 species
CCUUAGAUGUUCUGGGCUGCACGCGCGUUACACUGACGGAGCCAGCGAGUACUCCCUUGGCCGAAAGGUCCGGGUAAUCUUGUUAAACUCCGUCGUGCUGGGGAUAGAGCAUUGCAAUUAUUGCUCUUCAACGAGGAAUCCCUAGUAAGCGCAAGUCAUCAGCUUGCGUUGAUUACGUCCCUGCCCUUUGUACACACCGCCCGUCGCUACUACCGAUUGAAUGGCUCAGUGAGGCGUUCGGACUGGCCCAGAGAGGUGGGCAACUACCACUCAGGGCCGGAAAGUUCUCCAAACUCGGUCAUUUAGAGGAAGUAAAAGUCGUAACAAGGUCUCCGUUGGUGAACCAGCGGAGGGAUCAUUA